rnacentral:rRNA from 1 species
CCUACGUGUGGCAGCAGUGAGGAAUAUUGGUCAAUGGGCGAGAGCCUGCACCAGCCAAGUCGCGUGAAGGAUGACGGCCCUACGGGUUGUACACUUCUUUUGUCAGGGAGCAAUUGAGUCCACGUGUGGUCUUAGCGAGAGUACCUGAAGAAAAUGCAUCGGCUAACUCCGUGCCAGCAGCCGCGGUAAUACGGAGGAUGCGAGCGUUAUCCGGAUUUACUGGGUGUAAAGGGCGUGUAGCCGGGAAGGCAAGUCAGAUGUGAAAUCCGGAGGCUCAACCUCCGAAUUGCAUUUGAAACUGUUUUUCUUGAGUACUGGAGAGGCAGACGGAAUUCCUUGUGUAGCGGUGAAAUGCGUAGAUAUAAGGAGGAACACCAGUGGCGAAGGCGGUCUGCUGGACAGCAACUGACGGUGAGGCGCGAAAGCGUGGGGAGCAAACAGGAUUAGAUACCCUUGUAGUC